GCCUGGGUGGCUCAGUGGUUGAGCACCUGUCUUUGACUCAGGGUGUGAUCCCGCAGUCCUGGGAUCGAGUCCCACAUCAGGCU
rnacentral:tRNA from 1 species